GUUAAUGAUAAUGUCCUCAGAGUCAGAAUCACAUUGUGAUGUCACGCACACCCCACAGCCAGGUCAUACAUGUGGAGGCUGAGGCACAUAGAGGUGAGCAACUGACCCAGGUCACACAGAGAGUGCGUGGUGGAGCUGAUGCUGGAACCCAGGACACCUGUCUCCAUGGCCCUGGCUCUAGGACAUCUGCCAAAGGUGUCCACAGCAUGAUCUCUUCACCGGGAUUGGGAUGAAAACACCAGUCAUCACCCAGCAGAUGUUGCUUCUCUACUGAGGACCCUUCAACUUGUUCACUGUUUCAAAGCUGAAGCUGCAAUUUGCGAACUCGCAUUUUCCUGAAGGCUUUCCCACCUGGGCCUUGCCGAGGAACAUACAGUAUCAUCCCACCGACUGCUGGCAUUCGGCCCUGCGCCCACACAGCCCAGCGCUCUGCCUACCUGUGUCCAGCCUGAACUCAGCUUGGCACUGGCUUUCUAUCCACCUUCUGCCCAGCAGUGAAUGGAGUCAACUCUCCCAUUAAUGGAGCACCCUCUGGGGGAAGGGCAUUGUGUUUUCUGCUGAGCGCAAACACCUUCACAAUCUUCACAGAGCAACAAAUCAGAACUCAGCGAGAAGAGCAAUGCCAAAGAGGAGGCCUAGCGUGCAGACACACAUGAGCCUAGAGCAGCUGUGCCCACCCCAUGCCUCUACCAUUGACUCAGUGAGGACAGCUGUCUUUGAGAGUGGUGACGGUAGGGUUCUAGAGAAGAAGCAGGUCUGUUAAGCAAUCUGCGAGAUGGCCGGCCUCGGACCAAUCAAAGUCUACCAUUUUGUCUUAUCUAUCUAGAACCAUAACUCAAAAAUGAAAUUGCCCCAGCUUUUCUCCUCCCACCAUUAAAUUCCAUUCAAUCAUAGCAGGCAAAAUGCAGUCACGCUCAAGCAGCCAGAUGUUAUCAUUACAGACUGCUCUUUAUAAACCCAUGCUGAAACCUGAGUGGUUGAUGAGACCAGCUAAGCAGUUGUACCUUUGACCCGAUUGCAUUAAACUUGCCCUAUCAAUUUAAGCUCAGUAUAAACACCAUUUCCCAGAGCCCCUCGUGAAGUCAGCAGUGAGAAGAAGCUGACUAAGCCUAAACAUUUUUUAACAGCAAUCUUGUCUUACAACACCAAGGGGAUUUGCUGGGUAUCUGGGGCUUUAUAAAACCAUAUGAACAUGCUGAAAGAAUUAAAAUCCUUUAAAAAUGAAAAA